GCGCCGGUGGUGUAAGGCGAACAUCGCUGCCCGAAAAGCAGAAGAGGCGGGUUCGAGUCCCGCCUGGCGCA
rnacentral:tRNA from 1 species